UUUUAUGUUGCCUUUGUUUUUUGUUUUCGGGUUUUUUUGUUUUAACUGCAGGGAGAGUUUAAAAAUAAAAAAAAUAAAAAUAAAUUAAAAAAAAAACACCCGCAUUCUUUUCCCUUUAACCCCAGCGGGCCCUGCCUCCCGGGGAGAGUAAGGGGUAGAGACUCAGGGCCCUCGGGGCCAGGGGAGCAAUGGUCACUGCCAAGCCCCUUGAUCCCUGGCUGGGCCCUGGGAUGCUGGAGAAGUUCAAUGGCUCUGCGACCAACUCUAUCCAGCACCAAUAAGGCAGUUGCAGGCCUCCAGGUGACUCAAGCCCUUGGUCCGCCCCUGUCUGUUAGGUGCCUGGAGGUGGCGCACUUGGGGCUACCCCGCCCCAGGUUCCCGGUCCUUAAUGGUCCUUAAUGGCCCUUAACCCACUGUGAUGACUUCCUAGGCCUUGAGGAAAGGGAAGGAGAAGGAAUGGCUGCUGGUGGCUCACAGAGAAGCCAGACCCCUGGAAUCCUCAGGGGGAGCCUUGGGGGGUGGGGGGGCAGUAACCCCGAGCUCCUGUCCUUGGAGGCAGGAGACACCCACCCCCAGGGGAUAUAGAGCAGCCGUCCCUCCUCACCCCUCACCUCAGGGCCACUAGAUGACCCUGGGGCGAUGGUGGACCCCCACACUCACAGGCCCCCAGACCCCUGGGAAGGGGACUCUUUGACCCUUUGGGGGUCCAUGGACUCACUGAUGCCCCUCUGGGGGCCCAGGGAGCCCAACAAUGACAUUGCAAAAAGGUUUCUUUUUACAAAAGAAAAAGGAAAAACAAGUGGUGAUUUUUUUUAAAAAAAAAGAAUUAAAAAAAAAACCACAGACUAUAAAUAAAUGUAAAUAUAUAAUAAGUGAAUUUACUUGCAAGAAAAUCAAGUAGUAUUUUUUUCUUUUAAUUCUUUUCCAGCUUUAAACUGUGAAAAAAAUCGGGGUGGGGUGGGGGACUUAAAAUUUAGCAGGGAACUUGUAAAGACAAAACAAAC
rnacentral:lncRNA from 1 species